UACGAAGGGAGCUAGCGUUAAUCGGAAUUACUGGGCGUAAAGGGUGCGUAGGCGGUUGUUUAAGUCUGUCGUGAAAUCCCCGGGCUCAACCUGGGAAUGGCGAUGGAUACUGGGCAGCUAGAGUGUGUCAGAGGAUGGUGGAAUUCCCGGUGUAGCGGUGAAAUGCGUAGAGAUCGGGAGGAACAUCAGUGGCGAAGGCGGCCAUCUGGGACAACACUGACGCUGAAGCACGAAAGCGUGGGGAGCAAACAGG
rnacentral:rRNA from 1 species